UACAGAGGGUGCGAGCGUUAAUCGGAAUUACUGGGCGUAAAGCGCGCGUAGGCGGCUUUGACAGUCGGGUGUGAAAUCCCCAGGCUUAACCUGGGAACUGCAUUCGAGACUGCGUUGCUAGAGUAUGGGAGAGGGAAGUGGAAUUUCCGGUGUAGCGGUGAAAUGCGUAGAUAUCGGAAGGAACAUCAGUGGCGAAAGCGACUUCCUGGACGAAUACUGACGCUCAUGUGCGACAGCGUGGGGAGCAAACAGG
rnacentral:rRNA from 1 species